UACAGAGGGUGCGAGCGUUAAUCGGAAUUACUGGGCGUAAAGGGCGCGUAGGUGGUUUGUUAAGUUGGAUGUGAAACCCCAGGGCUUAACCUUGGACUGGCAUCUGAUACUGGCAGGCUAGAGUACGAUAGAGGGGUGUGGAAUUUCCUGUGUAGCGGUGAAAUGCGUAGAUAUAGGAAGGAACAUCAGUGGCGAAGGCGACACCCUGGAUUGAUACUGACACUGAGGUGCGAAAGCGUGGGGAGCAAACAGG
rnacentral:rRNA from 1 species